GGCUGCUCUCAUGUAGGUUGAACUCAUUUAUUAAUAAUAAUAAAUGACAUGUCCUGAACAGUUUACAUGUGCCAGAUAUGAUGCUAAAUGCUUCGGAUGACUUCCUCAUCGCUCUCAACCCUGGCGCAACUUUGUGAAGCAGGUACUAUUAUUAUCUCAGGCUGAGAAAUGAACAAGCAGAAGCUCAGAGACGGGCGAUAAAUUGACGUGGGUUACACAGUGAAUGAACGAUGGGAUUGGAAUUUCGAUGCAGGGUUGACCCUACAGCUCCCUCUCUGGUCUGGAGGAUACCUGCACCUUACAUCUGUCUAUUUUCUCUGCCACUGGCAAGCCACGGGACCUUGUAAAAGUCCAAUAAGAUCACAUCUUUGAGAUCCCUCUGAAAACUGUCAUGCACUGUGCAGAUGUAAGUUUUCAAGGUUAACACUUUUUGUAACCCCCAAUUGUCCAGGAGACACAACAAACGACCAGUCUGGAGGAUUCAGGUGUGAGACUCUCCAGCUGGGGACUAAGUCCCAAUGGGACUUACAAGGGUGAACUUCUCUCUUGCCCUCGCAUCUCCUCCCGGAGUGAAUUCAUUAGCACAACAUCUCAUAUUUUCUAGGGUAAGCAUAAUAUGUGGCCUGAAAACCGACCUCCUGAGACCAGUUCCUUGGACUCCCUAUACCUGAAUUUUUGGAUCAGACGUUUAAUGUUUCAGGCUAAUGUUUUAAAAAUGGAAAUGAAUCAGAAGACAGAGGGUGCCUCUGGGAUCUCAAACUGGUUUUUGUCCUCUUUUCACAGAAGAACGAAGGAGAACAUUCUUACCUGUCUGGGAACCGUCUAUCUAUUUCGGUCAUUUAAACCCCCCAAAAGUGAGCCUAAUGAAGGAUUUUUCAAGAAGGAGAGGAAGACCAGCUAGCAAAAGAGAGAGAGAGCGCGCACGAGCACGGAGAGGGGCAGAGAGAGAUAGAGAAUCUCAACGAAGCUCCAUGGUCAGCGUGGACCCAGAUGUGGGGCUCAAUCCCAUGACCCUGGGAUCAUGACCUGAGCUGAAAUCAAGAGUCGGAUGCCCCACCGACUGAGCCACCCAGGCACCCCAGAAUAAGGCAGUCUUGUUAAUAGAAAGAGUAGAAGAAACGGGGAAAAGAAUUGGUGUGUGUUACGUCUAGCAUUUUCUAGCAUGUUUGUGAAUUAAGACCAUAAAAAUUCUAUUAGUUUGAUUUCUUUGAGA